AUUUUCCGCUUGGGAUUAUUACGUCGAUAAAUGGGAAAUAAUCCGUCGAAGCGAGACUUUUUUGGAUUUGGCAGACUAAAGUGUGUAAGCAUUAGCAGUUGUAUUCUCUCUAUCCUGUAACAUAGACUGCCUGAUCUUUCCUAGGCCUUCAGGCAGUUACAUUGCCUAGUUAGUUAGAAGUGACUUUUUAAAGGGACUGUGCACUGCCUUUAAAGUGAGGAACGAUGGGGAAGAAAAGAAAAAAUAAACACAA